GGAAUCUUGGACAAUGGGCGAAAGCUUGAUCCAGCGACGCCGCGUGAGUGAUGAAGGCCCUCGGGUUGUAAAGCUCUGUUGAGAGGGAAGAAAAAGGCGACUCCAAAUAGGCUUCGACCUUGACGGUACCUCUUUAGAAAGCACCGGCGACCUCUGUGCCAGCAGCCGCGGUAAGACAGAGGGUGCAAACGUUGCUCGGAAUUACUGGGCGUAAAGCGCGUGUAGGCGGAUUGGUAAGGCAGAUGUGAAAGCCCCGGGCUCAACCUGGGAAUUGCAUUUGAAACUGCCUGUCUGGAGUGGUGGAGAGGGAAGCGGAAUUCCUGGUGUAGAGGUGAAAUUCGUAGAUAUCAGGAGGAACACCGGUGGCGAAGGCGGCUUCCUGGACACUUACUGACGCUGAGACGCGAAAGCGUGGGGAGCAAAC
rnacentral:rRNA from 1 species